UGAAGAGCUAUUCAUGAGGUGCAGUAUAAUGACAAUUUCAUCUGUUCCCCAUGUCAUGGAUAUGCUCUUCAU
rnacentral:pre_miRNA from 1 species